rnacentral:rRNA from 1 species
UACGUAGGGGGCUAGCGUUGUCCGGAAUCAUUGGGCGUAAAGCGUGCGUAGGUGGUUCGUUAAGUCUGAUGUGAAAGCCCUGGGCUCAACCUGGGAAUGGCAUUGGAUACUGGCGACCUAGAGUGCGGUAGAGGGGUGUGGAAUUCCCGGUGUAGCAGUGAAAUGCGUAGAUAUCGGGAGGAACAUCUGUGGCGAAGGCGACACCCUGGACCAGCACUGACACUGAGGCACGAAAGCGUGGGGAGCAAACAGG